rnacentral:rRNA from 1 species
GACGUAGGAGGCGAGCGUUGUCCGGAUUCAUUGGGCGUAAAGAGCACGCAGGCGGUUUGGCAAGUCGGACGUGAAAAUCCGGGGCUCAACCCCGGACCUGCAUCCGAAACUGCCCGACUAGAGGUAGGUAGGGGGAGAUCGGAAUUCCUGGUGUAGCGGUGAAAUGCGCAGAUAUCAGGAGGAACACCGGUGGCGAAGGCGGGAUCUCUGGG